GGAAUGAGUACAAAUUUAAAUACCUUAACGAGGAACAAUUGGAGGGCAAGUCUGGUGGAAAUUCAGCUCCCAUUCUGCUGACGCCAGAGAUAGUCGGGCACCUUUAGGGGUGUUACGCCGGCUAGUCGAGCACCCACCGAACUGAUGGGGGGGUGCCGGCAAGACAACCUGGAUCGGGGAAGGCUAAGGCGCGCGAGCGCUAUGCUGAUCCCGAGCAGAGCCUUCGCGGGGCGACCCGCGAUCACGGCCUGUGUAGAGCGCGCAAAGGUGUCGGUCAACUCACGCAGUUGACUUGAGGGACGUGCCAUUCCCGCCCGAAAGGGCGGCUGCCAGCUCCGAGCGCCCAUCACGCGAGGACUGGCAGGCCUGGAGCACCCGCUCCGGGCGUCGAUUGAAAAGGCCAGCAGCCGCGGUAAUUCCAGCUCCAAUAGCGUAUAUUAAAGUUGUUGCAGUUAAAAAGCUCGUAGUUGAACCUUGGGCCUGGCUGGCCGGUCCGCCUCACCGCGUGUACUGGUCCGGCCGGGCCUUUCCUUCUGGAGAACCGCAUGCCCUUCACUGGGUGUGUCGGGGAACCAGGACUUUUACUUUGAGAAAAUUAGAGUGUUCAAAGCAGGCCUUUGCUCGAAUACGUUAGCAUGGAAUAAUAGAAUAGGACGUGCGGUCCUAUUUUGUUGGUUUCUAGAACCGCCGUAAUGAUUAAUAGGGAUAGUCGGGGGCGUCAGUAUUCAAUUGUCAGAGGUGAAAUUCUUGGAUCUAUUGAAGACUAACUACUGCGAAAGCAUUCGCCAAGGAUGUUUUCAUUAAUCAGUGAACGAAAGUUAGGGGAUCGAAGACGAUCAGAUACCGUCGUAGUCUUAACCGUAAACUAUGCCGACUAGGGAUCGGGCGAUGUUUCUAUAUUGACUCGCUCGGCACCUUACGAGAAAUCAUAAG
rnacentral:rRNA from 1 species